UGUAAGACAUACCAGAGCAUCCACCUUGUUUAACCCCAAUUCUUAAGCACAGAUCUUCAUUUCUCUCAUUUUUUAUCCUAUUCAAAUGCUUCAACGCAUUCUCCGUCACCGAUAUAGCCGGCGCCACCCCCUCCAACGGCGGCGAAGCUGUAAUUAUGAGCCAUAACAACAAGGACCACAGAGUCACAUACUAUAAUAAUUAACAAGAGAGUUGAGUUGAAAUGAAAUGAAUUACCUAGGGAUGAAGUUGAUCGAAGAGAAAGAGAAGGGUUUCGACGGCUGAGAUUCGAUGUGGAGAAUCGGAAAGAGAGAGAAUUUGGAGGAGAAGAGAAAGAGAGAGUUUUUUUAUUAGUGUAAUCUGGUAAUCGGAGAAGAGGAGGAGAGUACGGUGGUGCUGUUGUUGAAGAGAA
rnacentral:lncRNA from 1 species